rnacentral:rRNA from 1 species
UCGUGGAGUGAUUUGUCUGGUUAAUUCCGAUAACGAACGAGACCUUAUUCUGCUAAAUAGCUAGGCCAACUUUUUAGUUGGUUAAUAGAUUUAUCUAUCUGGCUUCUUAGAGAGACUAUCGGCUUCAAGCCGAAGGAAGUUUUAGGCAAUAACA